CCAGCACCCCGAGUGGUCGGGACGUUUAUUGGGCCUAAAGCAUCCGUAGCCGGUUCUACAAGUCUUCCGUUAAAUCCACCUGCUUAACAGAUGGGCUGCGGAAGAUACUAUAGAGCUAGGAGGCGGGAGAGGCAAGCGGUACUCGAUGGGUAGGGGUAAAAUCCGUUGAUCCAUUGAAGACCACCAGUGGCGAAGGCGGCUUGCCAGAACGCGCUCGACGGUGAGGGGAUGAAAGCUGGGGGAGCAAACCGGAUU
rnacentral:rRNA from 1 species